GUCUACACAAAUAAAAUUGUAUACAUAUAGCUAUAAGUAUGCGAGGGUGAAAUGUAAUGUGAUUUGUCUUAUACUGUUUAAAAUGUUAAUAUAUUAAAUGUAUGAAUAAAAAUAAAAUUAUUCUUUUAACAGUGAUGUGUAAUUAUACUUUUAACUACAGGCUUGUCUAGUUCAUUCAUUUACCCAUCGGUUUUCAUGAUGAUAUGUUCUUUACAUUAUAAAUGUAUAAGUAUUUACUAGAGAAGCUUAUAUUUAUAGAUGUGAUAACCUUAUAUUUAUGAUAACCUUAUUUGUAAAAGGUUUAAAAAAAAAAAACCAAAUAAAAUAUAGGGAGGGUUUUGUGCCAUGCAAAUAUGUGGGGUACGGCCUCCUGAGUAUGGUAAGCCCCGCCUCCGUAGUUCAAAAGGCCGGAUUCUCAUUUGGACCCUUACAGCAGUAACUGAUUUUCGCGAGGACAUCUCUUUUCUCUCGGUUAUUUUAAAGCGGCCUUGUUUUAUUUUUCAAACAAUGGACUCAGGACUCACCGGUAAGUAAUUUUGCUUUAUAUGUUUAUUUAUCAAGUUUGAUAUACCAAGUUAUCUUCAUUUGUAAAAACAGUCUUAUUUUAUUUUAACAUUUAACAGGCUUUUAAAUGUAUAUGUAUACGAUGCAGGAAUUUUUAAAAAGCAGCCCACAUACCAUCAUUUUGACCAGAUCGACCAACUUUUGAAUUCUACUUUGAUAAAUGUUGAAGAGCAAAGCGACACUAGGAACAGCGAUCUACAAGUAAAUGCCCCCGCAAUAAAUGAGGGUUCUCAAGGCGUUAAUGAGGGCUGCGAACUGCAAGAUGCAGCAUUACUAGUUACACAGCCAGGGUUUGUAACACAGAAUACCUCUACAAAAUCUUCAAGACUUAGUCUUAGUUGGAAACGAAAGCAGUCCCGUUCUAUUACCCAUGAUAAAAGGGCAUGCCCUGACAAUGCACUAGUCUCUGAUGUGCAACCUCGGGAUACCACCACAGAUUUCAUUAAAACAGUUGAUUUCUAUACAGAAAACCUGUUAGGAGCUGGUGAUGUCACAAAUUCAUGGUCUGCAGCGUUGGCAAGUGUCUCAGAAGCUAACGGUGAUGCGAUAGUGCCGGUAGCUACUACCGUACUGACAUCUUCUUUGGACUCGCAGACAUCUGCGGCGGUUAAUCUGCCACGUGUGGUUGGAGCCCGUGGCGAGGAUGAAUCUUCUAUGAUUUUUGAAACAUCUCUACCUGCAAAUCAGGAACAUUUCAAUAAUGAGUUAUUGCUGGAAUUGAUAGCGCAAGUGAGAAGACUGACUGAAGACGUCGCAUCCAUAAAUUC